ensembl:lncRNA
AAAUAAGUUCACUGAUAUUCUUAGGUGAUAUCCUAUUUUGGGUGAGGCCAUCAGAUUCAAUCCAAACAAGGAUUAUUACAGAAAACGUUUCAGACAGAAACAUGCUGCAUUUUUAGUGUAAAUUCGGCUCUUACAGAUGUAUUUUCUGUUCUCGAUUCAUGUUUUAACACAGUUGGCCUUUGCUGCUGAGCCAACAUUUCUUCAGCGGACCUUAUCUAAAGGUGUGCUCCCUCAUGAAACUCCUAUUAACGCGUCUUUCUCAGUAGUCUUCGCUCUAUGCUGCGAAUUGCUUUCUUUUGUUUCCUUCUAAUGAAUUUAGCCUGAGUUCACAUUAUUGCUUUGUGCAGAAUGUGUAGCCUGAUGUAUUUUUCAUUUCAUCUCUCUCCUUCUUUCAUGCCAUCCUCAGAAACCGCCAUAGUCUAAGACAUCUCCUCCUCGUCCUCAGCCAAAAGAACUUCUCACAACAUCAAAGAAAGCCGGAGAGAAGGAGAGCGGGAAGGAGGGGUCUGCCUUGUAUCUGGGUUCUCAUGGAGAAGACGGUGGAGGAGAGGGGGAGGGGGAAAGCGAUUGAGAGAGAGAGAGAGAGAGAGAGAAAGAAAGGCAGGUAUGGAGGGAGGGAAACGAGGAUGAGAGAGGAACGAAGCCAACCAACCAGCUGAAAGAGAACGAGCGAUCGGGGCUGUUUGAACGUGGCUGGGAGAAAAGGAGGGAGGAGGGAGAGAGAGAGGGUGAGAUCGAUUGUCAGAUCCGAGGAAAUAGAAGUGUUACUAUUGCACGGCCACUGGAACGGUGUCUGCCUGCUGAGGAUAUGCAUUGGCUCCCAGCGCUCACCGGCUCGCAGGACACGCUCUAAGAUUGUGUCUCUGGGGAUGAUGCCGUUGCCGCUGGUGCCACUCUCCCUGUCGCCAUGACGAUGCCGCUCAGCCCCCUCUCCAGCGACGAGGAGCAGCAAAGGAUGCUGGGAAACAGUCAACACCUUUAUCCAGGGGCAGAAGAGGAAGAAGAAGAGGAGGAGGAGGAGGAAGAGGAAAUGGAUGAUGACUGCGUGGACGAGGAAGGCGAGGAGGAGAACGGAGAGCUGGAGUUGGAUGAUGAAGAGGACGUGGACGACGAAGAUGACAUCAGGCGAGGUCCAAGGCGUUUGAGAGGAGGCAGGGAAGAGGGGCACAGGCAAAAAGGCACAAUGGCUGGACGACUUCCAGGAGACAGACCGCUACGAGCUGGCAACCCGGGCCACACAGCCAACCCGUAUUCGUCCAACACUGGACCCACCCACCAAGCGCCGGCUAAUCAGCAGCAGCCGCAACAGCAGCGGAAGCUACGAGAGCGAAGCUCAAGCAACGCACCUGACGACACACACAUAGCUAUGAUGGUCUUUCGAAUUGGCAUUCCUGAUAUCAAACAGACGAAGUGUCUGAGGUUCAACCCUGAUGCAACCGUAUGGAAGGCAAAGCAGCAGGUGCUGUGUAGUCUAACUGAAUCUCUAAGGGAUGUAUUAAACUACGGUCUUUUCCAACCUGCUACCGAAGGGCACGAUGCCAAGUUCCUGGAGGAAGAGAGGCCGCUCCGCGAAUACCCACAAUCCUUUGAGAAAGGAGUACCCUACCUGGAGUUCCGCUACAAAACCAGGGUGUACAAACAGACAAAUCUAGAUGAAAAACAGCUGGCCAAACUACACACAAAGGCCAGUCUGAAGAAGUUCAUGGACUACAUCCAGACCGGGGCUGUGGAAAAGGUAGCCAAACUUGUAGACAAAGGCCUUGACCCCAACUACCAUGACCCUGAUACAGGAGAGACCCCACUCACUCUGGCCGUACAGACGGAGCCGGGUGGAGGGGAGAUCAUCAGGGUGCUGGUGAUGGGGGGAGCUCACAUUGACUUCAGGGCAAAGGAUGGCUUGACCCCUCUCCACAAGGCUGUCAGAGCGCAUGCGCACACUGCCCUACUGGUAACACAUAGCACCUCAGAACCGUGAUUAGGAUGACUUUAUGCUUGUAAUAAGAAAAUCAUAUUUAAAUCUAAUUGGUUGUUUUCUGGGGGUUUUUAGACGCUGUUGUCUUUGGGGGCAUCUUCUGAUUAUAAGGACCGCCGUGGGCUGACACCACUGUACCACACUGUGCUGACAGGGGGUGACACCUCCUGCUGUGAGACCCUCCUCUAUCACAGAGCCAAGCUGGGGCUCCGUGAUGAGAAUGGCUGGGACGAGACCCAUCAGGUACAAAAAGUGCUAAGAAGAACAGUGUGUAACAUAUACAGGAAACACAUAAAUAAUUGAAGUGUAACUGAUAACUGUUGUAACUGAUAUACUUGAUGUACCACGGAACAAUUGUCUAGUGUUAUUCUAAACAUGCAAAUUAAUACAUAUAUAUAUAACAAUAAUUUUAUAAUUAAUGUAAUACAUUUUUUUUUUUGCAGUCAAUUAUAAGAGUUAGAACAUUGAAAAAAAACAUUUUUUCUAGGGGUUUGAUUUUUGUAACCUGCUGUAUCUGUGAAUCAUUCAUUCAUAUGUCAAGGGAAGCCCUGAUCUACCCUGAACAUCCCUGCAUAUUAUUUACACGUUAUGUUUUUAUGUCUUUGUUUUUUGGAUACAUACGGUACCAUUACAGUAAGUUUACAGUAUGUUUGUUUUAUUCUGCAAGCAUGCAUUAAAUUGAUCAAAAGUGAAAGGAACAACUUCACAUUGUUAUAAAAAGUUAUCAUGGUUUCCACAAAAAUAUUAAUCAGCACAACUGUAAAAUUUAAACUGUGGAAAAUUACAUGAUACAUACAAAAUACAUGAGGACCAAAUUAGCAUAUACAGUAAUAAAUUUAAAUUUUACAUGUAUUCA